rnacentral:rRNA from 1 species
GACCGAUCGUCCAGACGUGCCUAACACAUGUAAAUCGAAUGAAAAGAAUUAAUUAUUGUUUUCAUGGUGAACGGGUGAGUAACACAUAAGAAUCAGCUUUUAGAUAAGGCAUAAAAGAGUAAUAUCUUGGUAAUUCCUUAUAUGCGCAGCAGUGCUUAAAAAGGGGAGUCCCGUCUAAAAACGAGCUUAUGCCUGAUUAGCUAGUUGGCGAGUUAAAAGCUCACCAAGGCGAAGAUCAGUAGCUGGCCUGAGAGGGCGGCCAGCCACAUUGGGACUGAGACACGGCCCAAACUCCUACGGGAGGCAGCAGUGGGGAAUCUUCUGCAAUGGGCGCAAGCCUGACAGAGCGGCGUCGUGUGAAGGAAGAAGGCCUGAAAUAGGUUGUAAACUUCUUUUACUGAAUAAUGAAUAAUGACAACGCAGUAAAAAAGUAUCGGCUAACUCCGUGCCAGCAGCCGCGGUAAUACGGGGGAUGCAAGCGUUAUCCGGAAUCACUGGGCGUAAAGCGUCUGUAGGUGGUUUAGUGUGUUCUUAGUUAAAUUCUGAAGCCUAACUUCAUGAAAAGUAAGAAAACUAUUAGACUUGAGUACGAUAGGGGUAAGAGGAAUUCUUCGAGAAGUAGUGAAAUGCGAAGAUACGAAGGAGAAGAUCAUAAGCGAAGGCUUCUUACUGGGUCGUAACUGACACUGAGAGACGAAAGCUAGGGGAGCGAAUGGGAUUAGAUACCCCAGUAGUCCUAGCUGUAAACGAUGGAUAUUCGUGCUGAAAUUUUAUUAGAACAUUUCGGUACCCUAGCUACGCGUAAUAUGCCGCUGAGGAGUACGCUCGCAAGUGAACUCAAUGAUGACGAGGCGAUCUGCAAAAUCAUCCACUGGCG